ensembl:lincRNA
CCAGCACUUCGAAGAUGGUGGGCAUGCUCAGUCCUGCCACCCCAAGAGGGACGUGGGACGUCAAAAUUGCCCUUUUCGAGCGUGCGUGAAAAGCUGCCGCUCGCUGGGCACAAGUUGUCUUCGAGGAAGUUUCCACUCCUGGUUGUCUGUGGUAGAACUUGUGCAAAUAGAAAACAAAGCACCAAGGAAGAGUGAGUGUGCGUGACGGAACAUACACAAGGUCAGAAGAAACUUCGAGAACCAUCAGAGCUGCAGCCCAUGAGUUCACCUGAGAAGGGCUGAGCCUUCCUGCAAAUCAGCUGAGGAAUGAGAUGCCACUGGAUUUAGAUGAGGAGCUCCUUGGAGACAGAGACUCACUCCCUGCUUGUCCAGGAUCAGUUUAUCAACACAAAAUUAAUUUUCUCUACACCUGUUCAUUUCAUGGGGAGACUGAGAAUAAGAAGAUAAUCUCUGUAGACUUCCAAAGGGAACUGUGCCUUCAUCAUUCCACAUGACCCUGAUGGCUGUGCCCUCCUCAGCCAGUGAGAGAACUAGUGACUCCUGGAAAUAAACUUGGCAAGUAAAUGCUGAGAAUACAAGGGUGAACAUCUCUGUUUAUUAAUUGACAAAUGGUGCUGAGGCAGGAUGAAGCACGCUGCAUACGUCAUUGCCAUUUCUUACAUCAGACUCACAGGUGGGUAUUAAUCAUAUCAUCAACCUACAGCAAAUCAAUAAACAGGACUGUCAAGAUUGUAUCAUGUCAUUGUUAGUGGCUCAUGAGUA